ensembl:snRNA U6 U6 spliceosomal RNA
GUGCUUACUAUGGCAGCACAUAUACUAAAAUUGGAAUGACACAGAGAAAAAUACAAGGAUGACAUGCAAAUUCGUGAACUCUUCCAUAUUAAA